GCUAAGAUUACCUAGAAUAUCUGCUUGCUUCUCUCUGUAGAAUAUGUUGUAAGAAUAAAUGAGAUAAUUUAGGCACUUUGAGAUCCUAGGAAGAAAGUGCAUUCUAUUUAUUCGAGUUAUUAUCACCUGAAGUGAUCUGUAAAUUCUCAGAGGAUACCAAAGUCUCCUGAAUAUUCCCACUUCUCAAGACAUAAGCAACAAACCAAAUGGACUUCAUGCAAAAUUAUUGACUACUCUGUGCCUCUCAGCCUCAAUUAACCCCUAAUUCUAUGCACCUGGGAGCCAAAGCAAACCAUAAGGAGCCACAGGCACUACCCUGAUGAAGCAUCUCUGGAAGGAGGUCUCACAUGAUUUUAUUUAUUUAUUAGAGAGAGAGACACAGAGAGAGAGCACAAGCAGGGGGAG